UAAUUUUUUGUGGUACCCAGGGAGCAACAAAGCCUGAGAAACAGUGUUUUUCUUUCUUCAAUUACAUUCAUUGUGGUAGCAAGGACAAGGUAGGAAUCACUAAAAGAAUUUGAUCCAAAGAUGUUUUGGCAGAAUGCUCCUGUGAUGAACUGCACUGUGUUUACUACCGAUGUGGGAUGAUGUGGGGCUGCAAAGAGCUGCAAAUAAAUGAGGAGUUGGAGCAAACAGGAUCAGUAGGAGAACAGGAUUUGGCCCAUUAGACUUCAUUUGCAAUGUGGGGAGGUUGUGAAAAUUCUACUUUUAAAAAGAUAGCUGCAAUCUGUCAUUUAAUUUCAAGAGUCCCUGUAGCACUGAGAUUCAGGUGCACGUGUAUGUUACAGGCUCCCACUGACCCAGCUGCCCUUUGUGCUGUCUCUGCUGCUCAGCACUUACACCGUGGCUUCACCUCAGAUCUGUGCUGACACUGUUGGUAGGACAUAGGGGGGAUC
rnacentral:lncRNA from 1 species